AACGCGAAGAACCUUACCAGGUCUUGACAUCCAACGACAGCCCUAGAGAUAGGGUGUUCCUUCGGGACGUUGAGACAGGUGGUGCAUGGUUGUCGUCAGCUCGUGUCGUGAGAUGUUGGGUUAAGUCCCGCAACGAGCGCAACCCUUACUGAUAGUUACUACGCGAAGAGGACUCUAUCGGGACCGCCGUUGACAAAACGGAGGAAGGUGGGGAUGACGUCAAAUCAUCAUGCCCUUUAUGACCUGGGCUACACACGUACUACAAUGGCAGUUAACAAAGGGGACCGAAACCGCGAGGUAGAGGAAAUCCCAAAAAGCUGUCUCAGUUCGGAUUGCAGGCUGCAACCCGCCUGCAUGAAGUCGGAAUUGCUAGUAAUCGCGGAUCAGCAUGCCGCGGUGAAUACGUUCCCGGGCCUUGUACACACCG
rnacentral:rRNA from 1 species